rnacentral:rRNA from 1 species
AUUGAACGCUGGCGGCAUGCCUUACACAUGCAAGUCGAACGGUAACAGGUCUUCGGAUGCUGACGAGUGGCGAACGGGUGAGUAAUAUAUCGGAACGUGCCCAGUCGUGGGGGAUAACGUAGCGAAAGUUACGCUAAUACCGCAUACGAUCUAUGGAUGAAAGCGGGGGAUCGCAAGACCUCGCGCGAUUGGAGCGGCCGAUAUCAGAUUAGGUAGUUGGUGGGGUAAAGGCUCACCAAGCAAACGAUCUGUAGCUGGUCUGAGAGGACGACCAGGCACACUGGAACUGAGACACGGUCCAGACUCCUACGGGAGGCAGCAGUGGGGAAUUUUGGACAAUGGACGCAAGUCUGAUCCAGCCAUUCCGCGUGCAGGAUGAAGGUCCUCGGGUUGUAAACUGCUUUUGUACGGAACGAAAAGGUCUCUCCUAAUACGAGGGGCUCAUGACGGUACCGUAAGAAUAAGCACCGGCUAACUACGUGCCAGCCGCCGCGGUAAUAC